UGACAGUGAAUCUGCACAUGGUUUC
rnacentral:piRNA from 1 species